GGCUAGGUGGUGGCAAUGGCAUCACGGCUCUUUCGUAAGGAGCAAUUCUGAGUUCGAUUCUCAGCCUGGCCU
rfam:Thecamonas trahens ATCC 50062 unplaced genomic scaffold supercont1.53, whole genome shotgun sequence.